rnacentral:lncRNA from 1 species
AGGAAGGAAUUCCAGCCUAACAUCGUACAAUUUCUAGAAUUUGCCCUGGUUCUCCACUUAUUUAAGGCUUAUUGAAAUCUAGUUAAUCAUAUGCGUUAUGGUCUUAUGGAGUUUGUUGGCUUGCUUUGAACUAAUAAGCGUCGGCUUAGCUUUCUGCACAUUUCAUGCUGCCAAGGUUCAAGGUUCUCACCAAGAAUGAAGACUGAGUAAGUUUAUUUACAAUGUAUGGGAAUUCUCAACGUAAGUUUGUUAACUCUAGGAACUAUGAUCCAUAAGCUAACGUAAGCACUAACAUAGGGUUUACACUUGUUACCAGAUCCCCAACAUGAGUGCUCAAAUUUACAUCUUUACGACAAAGAGGAGGAACUUGAGAUGCUUAAGGUGGAGCACAAAAAACUACAAUAAAUGGAGUAAUUCAAGCCGAACAUGGUAUAGUUUCUAAAUCUAUCUCUGGUUCUCCACUUAAUUUACAGUAUAUGUUAUGUGGAAAUGAUUCAUAAUUAUUUUUAGAAUUUGGCUAGUCAUAUGUGACUAAGAUUUAGGGAGCUUGUUGAUGGUAGGCUCGCUUUAAACUAAUUGUUUGAUGGAAGUUUCUGCUUAGAUUUGAGACUAGCUCCAUCCACUCUUGGUCGUUUUCUUUCUACUAUGUGUUUUAUCUUUCGCGAAGUCAUUAGGAACAUCAAUUGGUGCGGACAGAAACGAUGAUUCUGACUUUGGUACCUUUUUCCUAAAAUCAUCAUGCUAGGCUUGUGACUAUAGCAGGUAUGAGGUUGCGAAGAUGGCAAUGGAGUGAACCAAUGAAAAGUUCAACAAUAUUUUCUAACUUGUGUGCAGAUUCUUGAACUUUUUAAUAGGGGGAAAAUAGGAACAAGAGAUCUACAUGAAAUGGAAUGAUGAAAAUAACAAAUCAAAUACAAAGAAUACACGUUUUGAGCUAAGUCAGUCACUAACAAUAACACAUGUUUCUUGCAGAUAAGAAAGAGACGAUAAAGACAAAGAAGAAGGACGAGAAUCUUGACC